rnacentral:rRNA from 1 species
CAGUAGCCGCGGGAAUACGUAGGGUGCAAGCGUUAAUCGGAAUUACUGGGCGUAAAGCGUGCGCAGGCGGUUAUAUAAGACAGAUGUGAAAUCCCCGGGCUCAACCUGGGAACUGCAUUUGUGACUGUAUAGCUAGAGUACAGCAGAGGGGGAUGGAAUUCCGCGUGUAGCAGUGAAAUGCGUAGAUAUGCGGAGGAACACCGAUGGCGAAGGCAAUCCCCUGGGCCUGUACUGACGCUCAUGCACGAAAGCGUGGGGAGCAAACAGGAUUAGAUACCCGAGUAGUCCCUGUCUCUUAUAC